AAUGGUUCUGGGUUCAGACUGUCCUUUUGGAGGCGGAGGGAGGCUCAGUGAGGUGAAUAUUAAUGCAAAUCAAACCCCCAGUCUGGUUCCUCUGUGAGGAAAAAGGGCAUGCAGUGUGGGAUGGGAGCCAAUAACCAAAGGAGAUAGAAGCAAGGAAA